GACGAACGCUGGCGGCGUGCUUAACACAUGCAAGUCGAACGGUAACGCUCCAGCUAGCUGGGGUGCGUCAGUGGCGAACGGGUGAGUAACACGUGAGCAACCUGCCCCGGACUGUGGAAUAAGCGCUGGGAACGGCUUCUAAUACUGGAUACGAGAAGGGGCCGCAUGGGCACUUUCUGGAAAGUUGUUCCGUUGGGGAUGGGCUCGCGGCCUAUCAGCUUGUUGGUGAGGUAAUGGCUCACCAAGGCGACGACGGGUAGCCGGCCUGAGAGGGCGACCGGCCACACUGGGACUGAGACACGGCCCAGACUGCUACGGGAGGCAGCAGUGGGGAAUAUUGCACAAUGGGCGCAAGCCUGAUGAAGCGACGCCGCGUGUGGGAUGACGGCCUUCGGGUUGUAAACCUCUUUCAGCAGGGAAGAAGCGAUAGUGACGGUACCUGAAGAAGAAGCACCGGCUAACUACGUG
rnacentral:rRNA from 1 species